GAAUGUAGCUUUAUCUGUGACAUGAUUCUUGGGGCCAGGGGCAGCAGUGCUGGUGCCAGGACCCUCAACACCUCUGAUUCCCUUGAAGUUGGACUUUGGGCCCUGGAGGCUCCUUGCACACAUCAGCAGCUGCAACAGUGGUAGCAUUGCCUUUGGUGGGCUGUGGUGACCUGGCUUGGAACAUUGGCAGUAGCUGCUUACAUCAGGCAAGGAGGAUUGUAAUUUGGCAGCUGGCAGAACUGUGCUUGGAGCACACCUGAGACAUCCCGGAACACCCUGACCUAUUGGAAGUGGGGGAUGAACCUCCAGCAGAGGAGGAGCACAGCGCUCUAAAUCUCUGAGGAGAAUUCUGGAAAAUCAAAGGGCACAGAACUGACUUGCCUCUGCUCCUGGAUAGACAGAACCAAAAUACACCCUGAAUAAGGAAAGUAAGCACGGUCUCCAUGAAGUACCAGGGGAAGAAAUCUCAAAUCAUCCCCAAACUCCAGAACUCUGUAACCUUUGCCCAGAUGGAAGUUGAACCCUUCGCAGUAUAAUCAGUGUUUUUUUUUUUUUAAGGCUAAACUUGAAAAAUCUACUUAUUGAUCUCAGACAGGUCAUUUUCCCCUUUUCUCUUUCCAACAGUGUUAACUCAUAUGUGCCUGGUACAUUUCAACUAUGGUUCUUACAAUUGGUAGCUUUGAACCAAGUUUUCAGAAUCCAUCUCACUUCCUUUUCUAUGCUUCCCACUCUUAAAGGUGAGGAAAUUCCAAUACAAAUUAUUUAGUACAACUAGACUCUGUCAGUAAAUGGAAUCAAGUCCCAAAGGUUUUAUGCUUUGACACAUUUCCAUUAUAUAUGGGUGGUAAUAAAGUGAAAUUAUUUCCUGCUUCCCCAAAGGCUUCCAGGUCAUAAUUUUGAACACCCAGAGUGUUACCACUUUAGAGUAAAAUUCUCAAAUCAAAAAGCAUUUAAGCAGUAAGUACAUCUCCUAAAAUACUUGAGAAGAGGAUGAAGGAGAAAAAGAAGGAAACUGCAUAUCAUAAGGUGUCUCAACAAACCAUAUUUGGAACCAUUGCUUUAACUUUCUUUUAGAAAGUUAGUGGUUUUUCUGCAAUAUUGCCAACUAAUGUAUAUUUCUGCUUGAAUCACUUCACUAAUUGUUGAUCCAGUGAUUUCUAAAUGAUUCCAGGCAACAACUUUUACUAAUUAUUUUUCACAUAGGUGAUUGAAUUGACUGGUUAUCUUGUUGUCAUGGAGACUAAACCUUUUAAAAAUUAUAUACUAGUAUAUAAUUUAUAUAUAUUACUCCUGUGUUAAUAACUUUUACUAUUAGCAGUUACCUUCACUAAGGAGGGAAGGCAGAAUGAUAAAGGCCUAAUACAUAUGUGCACAGGAGAAUUUAAAAAUGCACAAAGACACAUUAGCAUGAAAGCAUCACAAAUUAUGCAAAAGAAAGCAUUAUGAAACCAUAUUGGUAUAGAUACAUAAAUCAAAUAGCUCUGAAUUUUUCAGUAAACUUCUUUCAUAAGCAAAACCACAAUGAGAUAUCACCUGACACCUGUCAGAAUGGCUAUCAUCAAUAAGUCAACAAGUGUUGGCGAGGAUGUGCACUAUUGAUGGGAAUGUAGAUUGGUGCAGCUACUGUGGAAAACAGUAUGGAGUUUCCUCAAAGAAUUAAAUAUGAAUCGCCCACAGAUGAUUCCAGGAUCUGGUGGCAUUUGCUUCUUGGUCACCACCAAACUCGACCAGAAAAAAAAAAAAUUGAAAAUGGAACUGCCUUUUGACCCACGAUCCCACUUCUGGGAAUACAUCCUAAGAAACCCGAAACACUAAUUCAAAAGAAUAUAUGCACCCCUAUGUUCAUUGCAGCAUUAUUUACAAUAGUCAAGAUCUCAAACAGCCUAAGUACCCAUCAGUAGAUGAGUGGAUAAAAAAGCUGUGGUGCAUUUACACAAUGAAAUAUCACUCAGCAGUAAAAAAAAAAAAAAAAAAAAAAAAAAAAAAGGAAA